UGUGAAUGUGACCUUAUCUGGUAAUGGAGUCUUUGCAGAUGUAAUCAAAUUAAGAGGAGGUCCUAUUGGACUAGGGUGGGCCCUAAUUCACAUAUGA